AUACUAUUGCACAGACCCACCUUCUCUCCUAACCCUCCUCUUUCUCUCUCUCUAGGGAACACAUCUAACCCUAGAAACUCUUCAAAGGCUUUCCCACGCUUCCCUAAUAAGGAGAUCGAAUUAACCUCUUCUUUGUCAACCUCCUUUGCCCAAACUGUCCGAUUCCGGUGGUUCCUCCGUUCGCCGCCGUUCCUCCAUCGAUGGCCAUUUAUAACAACCUUGCAAGCGGAGCCACCGCUUUAAUUGUCUUCUUCACCAACCUCUUCCGCCCACAUGUGGUCGCUCCGCUCUCUGCCACUCGGUCUUUCGUUGCUCCACCCAAGUUUUUCUACACUACUGCUCCCACCGGAAGUCCUGACAGCGUCGCCGCCUGCAACCACCUUGGGGGUUUGAGGCUAAGGCAGUGAAGAAGGGUUUAUAUGUGAGAUUGGACAUGCCUGGGGUUGAGGAAGAGGACGUGGAGGUAUGGCUGGAGUAUGACACCCUUUUUGUCAAAGGUGAAGCCCGGAAAGCAUGGGAGCAAGAAAUCUACGGCAGGUUGUACUGUGGGAGCAGAGAACUUCUGCCCCAAUAGGGGAAGAAGGUUGGUAUUCUUAAGAAGGAUAUGAAGAAUGGUGUCCUAACGAUCGUAAUUAAUUAAUUAAUUCCUGUUUUGAAUAUGUUGUGACAGAUUUAUAUAUGUAUGUAUGUAUGCAUGAAUCUCCACUUCUAUAUUUUGAUUUAGAUGCAUGAAUUUCCACUCAUUGUCUUAUUGAUUUGUAUAUAUGUGUGUAUAGAUGCAUGCAAAUAUGACUUCUCUAGAGUUAAUAUAUGAUAGAGGCUGAUACAGAAGAAUAGUUUAAGGGCAGUAUGGUGCCAUGGUAGUUGCAGCUAAAAUGUCUUGGUUCCUAAAUAUACGAUCCUCUGAAAUAUUAAGAAGGGGAUUGAUAAUAUAUAUUUUACUGAUUCUAGUUGGCCUUAUGAAGAAUAUAUGAGAUCAAUAUGCUGGAAUGGGAGGUUGGUUGUUAGGUUUAGCCUUUUAGGAAGUGAAAUUUAAUCCUAAUCGUUAAGUUAAUUUGUAGCCUUUAUCUCCUCGUGAAUCUAUAAAAUUUAUUGUUAUUGUAGGAGUUAAACUCAUUUUUUGAUCUGGGAAAUGUGUAGGGAUUGCCAAAACGAGUUGUAGGAUUUGAUGAUAAAUACAUGUAUUUGCUAUUAAUGUUGAAUUGGCCUGGGGAUAUAUUGUGCUUUGUGUAGUUUUAUUGAUUGAGAUCAAAUGAUGAUCCUGUUCAUCUUUUGUUGCUUGGUCGCUUUGCUUUUUGGUGUACCGUGUAUUCCUUUUCAUAGUUUGUGGUUUGCUGAGUCUAGACUAGUUCUUAUUUGUCCCUUUAAUGUGACUGUUCUAUGGUUUUUCCUGUUCCUUGUGGCUUGAUUUUGGUAGUGGGAUUUCUUAAUCCCUUUUGUAUUCUGAGCGGAUGCACUCUUUGCCUUUUGUAGUCCGUGCUUUGUUCUUUAAUGAUAUAUCACGUAGGAAAAAGACAAAUGCCAGUCUGUGAAAUUUCGACUCUUCAUGAUAGGCAAUUUAUUGUAGAAUUUUAUUAGUGAUAUGGGAUCAACAUUUUUUUUUUUGACUCACAAUUCGUUUUUUAUACCAUAUGAAGACUUAUUGUUACCUCAUUUGCUAAACAGCAACGGCAUUAUUGUAAUCUGUUACUCAAUACAUAUAUAAGAACACAUUCCGAAUAUUAUUGAUUAUGUUAGCAAUUUGAGUCUGUCAAAAUAAUAAAAUAUAUAUUUUUUAUCAUUAAAUUUGCAUGCUUGACAAAAUCAUGAGUUACACCUCAUUCUAAUGGAAUUGAAUCUGUAGUAAUAUUGUCAAAUGUUCUUGGAACAAAUAUUUGAUGAGAUGAAUCAAUAAAGUCCUCUGCCCGCCAUGUUCACAUCUUGUGUAGAACUCGCAUCCAUAUAUAUUUUUAUUGUCCAUCGAAUUAUUUGGGCCCACUCGUUAUCAAUGGGAUCAGGUAAGCAGUCGCCCUGGCCUGGUCACUGCGACCAACAAUUACUGUUACUUUGUCAAAUUUUCUAGCUCUUUGAAUCAGAUAUACAUGGUCAAUAACAGUAUAUAGGUAUUUUUUUGUUUUUUGUAUGUGUUGUUAUGGUAUAUAUCUUUCAAUGCUGUGAUAAGGUUGUUGAAGUUUAUCCUGUUAAUAAAAGAUGUUAGCUAGUUGUAAUAUAAAAUUUAUUUCCAGAAUCUAGUAGAUUAGAGUGUGCUUAAAAUAGAUAUGUAAUCAAGGAACUUAUAUUUCAGCUAACUCUGUUCUAUUCAUUAUAGUUACUUUCUACAGAAAAGCGACCAAAAAUGUCUGGAUGUGUGUUUAUUGUUUUGUAAAGCCACGCGCUAGUUUGUCACUAAGGCUUAAACUUUUAAAUGCAUGUUCAAAAAAUUAGUUCCCUCUCCGUAUUGCUUCUGAAACUCUUGAUUUACCAUAUGUUGUGAAUGCCCACUAGUGCUUUGAGUAUAUGACCACAUCAGACUAAUUCAUGCUGCAUGCUGUAUCUUGAUAUAUUCCUUUUAUUUCUUCAUUUUGUUCAUAGCUUCAAUUUUUUGGGGCAUUAGAACUCUCUUGCUCAUGACUCUUAAGCUGCAAACACUUUAUUUAAGCCUCUAACGUGCAUGCCAAGGAACAUUGUAGUAAUCAUUUGAACGUAUGAAGUUUGUGUAUGAUCUUCAGAAUAUCAGUGACGCUGGAGAGCUAAUCUAUUUUAUUGUUUUAUCUUUUCUCUUUUGGUAAUUUACUGGAGAACUGGUCUUCAAUAGAACUAGAACAUAAUAUUCCUAUAUAAGAUAACCAUUGAUGCUUCUCGUUCAAAGAAUCUAUAUUUGUUGUAUUUCGAUUUUUUAUUAUGUUUCUAUUGUUUUAGAUCCUUGACAAUGUUUUGGACUAAAAUGAAUUUCAAACUUGAUAAAUAUACCAAUUCAUUUGAUUUUUUAAACUAUUUAACCAUCAUUCAGAUGAUUCUCAGCCAACUUUCUAAGUAUAUAUCCUCCAUGUAAAUAGAGAAUUUGCAUUUCUUGCCUAAGCUCAAACCGCGGCCUGUCUUGGUUAAUUUUUUUAAUUUUGAUUGAAUUUUAGUUCGAGAAUCAUGAGCUGGCUGUUCGCAGGCUAUUGAUCUCACUGGGUAUAAAUAUAUUUAUACCUUAGAAAUAAUUAUGUGAUUUAGAGCUUUGCUGUUGUUUUAUUGAAUAUUUUUUUAAUGGUUUACUUGAAAUAUAGAUCUGGUUCUUUAGUUUUUAGCUAGCUAAAAUAGUUUUAAUUUGUGUAUAUAGUGUUUUCUCUUGUGCAUCUAUAAAUAUAUACAAAGGAAUGCGGAAUCUUGCUGUUGAGUCAUAUUACCUCAUUUUUUUUGGAUGUAGUGACACUAAGUUCUAUUAUCACAGUGGACAGGUGAAACAUCCGUUGUGACUGAAUUUGAUGUCACACUUGUUCCCCUGCUGAUCUAUUUUUUAAUUGAUUAAUUCAAUUGAAGUUCACAAUAACUAACCUCUUCACGACUUCAUACAGCUCUUGGAUGCUGUGGCUUCCGCACAAACUUCUCCCCCACAACCACCGCUUGAGUCUCUCUUUCUCUAGCUGAGCUAACAAACAUUGUAAACCCUCCAUAAACCCUUAUUGAAUCUACUUUCUCUCUCUGCAUCAAUGGCUUCCGGUAGAUCCACCACUGACUUUUUCUGCCCCACCACUCCUACCGGAAGUUCUGAUAGGAUCGCCGCCUGCAACAUCCUUGUGGUUACGAUCGUUCACCUUCUCAAAUGUGUGUAUAUAUAUAAUCCAGAGAAAGCUCUUUUCAUUCACUAACACUAACUCUCUUUACAUAUUGUGUUGUGUUUAACAUUUGUUCGAUUUUUGUAUGUGUUCAGAGGUUGAUUAGUUAAGAAUUCACAUCAUUUUUAUGGUCCAAGAGGGGGGUUUGAGGCUGAGGCAGUGAAGAAGGGUUUGUAUGUGAUAGUGGACAUGCCUGGCGUUGAGGAAGAGGACGUGGAGGUAUCGCUUGAUAACGACACUGUUUUUCGUCAAAGGUGAAGCCCGGAAAGAAUGGGAGCAAGGAAUAUAUGGCAGGUUGUACUGUGGGAGCAUCGAUCUUCUGCCAGAAUCAGGGAAGAAGGUUGGUGUUCUUAAGAAGGAUCUGAAGAAUGGUGUUGUAACAAUGGUCUUGGAAAUGAACCGGUGGACGAUAAUCCACCUCAAGCUUGAAAGUUGUUAGAAGGUUGUUUGCUAUUUUGUAUUUUGACCGUUUUAUGUAUAUUCAUACUUGUGGGGAUGUAAUUAAGUUAGUAUUCAUGGCCUUGUAACUUAAGAACGAACUUAUCUUUUGUUUGAUGUAAAUGAAACUAAUGGAAUUAUGGUAUAUGUUUCCAUACAAUUGUAUCAUGUAACGUUGUAGGACAGGGACUUUAAAUAUUAAUCUUGUAUUUUGGGACUGUAAUUAUGAUAAUUUAGAUUAAUUGGUGUGUGGAUAUUUCACCAUGAGAGGAACUAUGUUGAGGUAUAAUGAA